rnacentral:lncRNA from 1 species
ACCUAAUAGUUAUUGGGUCUAACUCCAUCCUUACUUUGGAGCAAUUCUUUGCUAAUAGAGUGAUUGCGUAUUUCCGAUGCAACUAAACCACUGUAACCAGUCGAGAAUAAUCAAUGUCGGUAGCACGCCUGCACAUCUACAAUAGUGAAAGAUCUAUGGACUUAAUAUUUGUGGGGAGGUUUAGAUAUAGAUCUCAUCUAAUCAGUCAUUAUAUGAUCGAUCUACCUAGCAUAGGCUUAACC